UAUUCUUCUUUCUUAUUUUUCUUCUUCUCCUCUCUCGUUCUUCUUCUGUUUUCUUCUCCGGCGAUUCUGAGAAUCGAUUUGAGGGAAUCGAUCGAUGAUGUUGUUAGUAUAUAAUCAAAGAAGGUUUGGUGGUGGUGUUCAUGUUGGUUGAUCAUGAUAAGAAGAAGAGAUGACGAUCUGUAGAGAAACCAGAUAGUUCAAGCCAUAGAAGAAUUGAUUAAUUGAAGGAGAUUUGAUUAGUUGGUGAUGAAUAACAAAAGGGGUAGUGUUUAAUUGAAGUUUUGAAUAUGUUUCGAUGAUGAAUUGUACGUUAGGAUUUCAUGAGGAGAGCUCUGAGAAGAUUUAUAAAGUGAAUAUGAUGUUAUAGAUAGAUGAUUAAAAGUGGGUUUAGUCGAUUGAGAAAAGGUGUGAAGUUAAUUAGAUGUUGGGGAUGUUCUGAGGAAGAAUUGGAGAAUUAGGGUUUGUUAUUGAAAUGAAGAUAUCCAGAAAAGGUUGAAGAAUCAGUUGAGAUAUUGAUGGGUUAUGGCGACAGUGUUAACUGGAGUGUUGAGUCAACCCAGAUUGAUCAACAGAAGAUGAAUUAGGGGUUCAGAAGAAUUGUUCGAUGAAUCAACAAUUCAGAAGGUGUUAUUGCUUGGGUAAGCUUUUAUUUUCUUAACCUUGAUAUUUGGAGUUGAAUUGCUAAGAUUCAUUUGAGUUUAUAUGUUUGUGUUUUAACUUAGGUUGAGGUGACCAAACAAUGAAACUGCGGAGGUAGUUAAAAGUGGUUUUGAUAGUGAAAGGAUUGUUGAGUUUGAGCUAUUGUUUAAGAUGAUUUGUGUUUGAUGGAAAUUGCGGAUGGAGCUAUGUCUGUGGUAUAAUUGAAUUGAUAGUGGUUGUGUAAAUUAAUUGUGCAAACUGAAGUAAGAAGUGACUAAAUAUGAGAUUCGCAGGAAUCAAAGAGGUCUUGUGUUAUGUGAAUUAGUUUGAUGUUGAACUGUUAUUACUCAGACUAGCAGAGAUUGAAGAAAAUGUAAUUAUAGAAGGAUGUUAACUUGAGCUGUAAUUGUAGGUGGUAUGAGGAUUGAAUUAAAAUUCUAUAUAUGGUGAAUGAUGUGUAUUGCUAGAGUUGUAACUGUAAUACAGAAGUAGAUGUGGUGAUGUUGAGUUGGUUAUGGUGUCUGUGGAGUUGUAAAAUGAAUUAGCUGUUAUGGUGAUGAAAGAGGCUGAAGUCUAAUUGAACUGGUAAUGCUGAGAUUAGGUUGUGUAUUUGAGUUGGUAAUAUGAAGAAAUGUUAGAGUGGUAAAUAUUUGGUUCCAGUUAGGAGUAGAAUCCGUGGAGGCUUGCUGUUACAGGUAAGCUGAGUUUUCGAUAGUGAUUAAAUUAUGAAGUAUAUUUCGAAAGAAUAAUUGAAUUGCUUUUGAGUUGUUAUGAAGAUGAUGUUAUGAGACUGAGUUUUAGGAAUGACGAGUUGAUGAGUGAAUAUGGAGUUGAAUCUCUCUUGUAAAAGCUUAGAGCUGCAACUGCAGUUUCAGAAACAGUUCAGAGUUCCGCAGCGAAAGCUUCGAGGAGUUGACUUCGUUAGUUAGUUGGUUAACUUUUGCUCUAUUUAUUAUAUUGCAUAUUGUACUUGUAAACCAAAUGACUAUUGUAUAUGUAUCAUUUGAGAGGAUUUCUUGUAUAUAUAUAUUUCUGAGCGGGGCUAGUUUUGGGUUAA